rnacentral:lncRNA from 1 species
UGGAGUAGGCGCAGCUAGAGUGUGCUCGGCUACUUCUGAGGCAUCGUUGGGCCGCUCUGUUGCGUCACCUAGGCUCGGCGUGAAGGCGCAGUAGGGAGCUGUGGAGAUGGGGCCAUGUCAUACGCAACAGGAGAUGCUCAACUGCCGGUAUUGGGCCACUCUAGAGUUGAAUCAUUGAGCAAGGGUCGGCUAGGGCCGUGUGAUGCGCAGCAAGAAAUGGUACUCAACUGCCGGUACAUGUUGCUCCUAUGUAGAAUCUUUUAGGGUGACGAGGACAAAACUUGCUUUCGAGUGUGUCCUUCCAGUGUUGCGUUUGUCAGAAAACUUUACAUCUGCCAGGGUCUACGCCUUUAUCGUCGCGCGUCUGGAUUGGGCAGAAUAGUACGUCAUUAAGAUGAUUGCAUGCGUUUGAAAGUAAAACUUGUGCUUCUGGGUUGCAACAACUAUCGCCAAAGUUAGCUUUUGAAUUUUUAAUAACAUCGAGGAGAGCUUUUGAACUGUAGAAUACAGGUAACUGUGGAAUACAGGUAGUCGGGCCCCCAUCUCUUCUCGCAUGAUGGUAGAGCUUAUUGCUACUUUAGAUACCGUCAAACAUGUGAAUAAGUCAUCCGCUGCUUCUAGGGAGGUGAUGUUGGGUACUUCUUCAAGUCCUUGAAUGUGCAUUGGCGAGCCUCAUCCCAAAGUGCAUACUUCUCUGCCAAAGCAAAAGAGUCUGCCAGAGUUAGAUCUUCUUUCAUGAUC